AAUAGAUACCCGGGUAGUCCACGCCCUAAACGAUGUCAACUAGCUGUUGGGGUCUUCGGACCUUGGUAGCGCAGCUAACGCGUGAAGUUGACCGCCUGGGGAGUACGGUCGCAAGAUUAAAACUCAAAGGAAUUGACGGGGACCCGCACAAGCGGUGGAUGAUGUGGAUUAAUUCGAUGCAACGCGAAAAACCUUACCUACCCUUGACAUGUCUGGAAUCCCGAAGAGAUUUGGGAGUGCUCGCAAGAGAACCGGAACACAGGUGCUGCAUGGCUGUCGUCAGCUCGUGUCGUGAGAUGUUGGGUUAAGUCCCGCAACGAGCGCAACCCUUGUCAUUAGUUGCUACGAAAGGGCACUCUAAUGAGACUGCCGGUGACAAACCGGAGGAAGGUGGGGAUGACGUCAAGUCCUCAUGGCCCUUAUGGGUAGGGCUUCACACGUCAUACAAUGGUCGGGACAGAGGGUCGCCAACCCGCGAGGGGGAGCCAAUCCCAGAAACCCGAUCGUAGUCCGGAUCGCAGUCUGCAACUCGACUG
rnacentral:rRNA from 1 species